UAAUAAUUUAAGCCAAGCUUUUAGAUACAAAAUAUAUGGGAAUGAUGACACCGAAGAGGACCAUGGUACUCUUGAUCGAGAUGAUGAGGAUGUCUACUUUGAUGAUGAAUCUGCUGAAGUUGUCAUAUCGUCACUCAGGCUUGGUGAUGAUCAAGGGAGGUAAGUUUUGAAUAACAAUGCUAUGGCUUUGGUAAGGGGUAAAAGGCUCUCAUAAGACAGAAUCCUUGUUGGCCCUAUUUCUAUAAUUGUGCAUGCAUGUGCAACUAUGUUCAAUUUUUUAAUAAUACAAAGGACAACAGAUGUAGGAUACAAUCUUUUGAAAGCAGUCCCCUUGUCCUCCCUCCCCACUCCCCGAAAUGUAACGGAAGGAAGCAUAUGUUACAAAGAUAUAUGGCUUGUUUUGUGGGGCUUGCCUAAUUGCUUUUAAGACUUAAAUGUGGUAUAAGUAGAGAGUAUAGGCCUCUAGAUUCAGAAGGCACUUUGUGGUAUAUAAUCUCCAAUUCCAAUGGACAAAUUAGUAAGAAUCUGCCUACUUAAGAAAUAAGUAUGAACCUAUGCAUCACGUUAGAGGUCAUUAGACAUCAUACCUAAGAAUGAUUUCAUUGGUCACAAUUGCGUUAUGCAAUCAUACAAAAGAAAUCUGUUGGAAGAUUAUCUGAAUAGUAACAUAGCUUUAUUCUCUUCAAAGAAAUUAGAAGAGUAUUUAUAGGCUUGAGUUAAUCCUGGUUUGAUUAGCUAGAAACUCUAAGGCUACAUUUGGAACAAGUGAAUUUUUUGGAAUUAAUUCGGAAAUCCACAAUUUUAUUACUAUAGGAAUGCAUAUCUAUUGCAAAAUGAUAAAAUCAACCUCCUUUAGUAAUUCUAACGUCCAAAUGUUGCCAGUAGAAAGCUUAAAAAAAGAAUUUAAACUUCAAAUAAAAUCUUACUAGUAUCAAAUUGCAUUAGAAAGAUCCUGUAAUCAACCAAAACUACUCUUCUUCUGAUGCUACUGCGACCAUUGAAUGCCAUCACUCUGUUAAAAACUCAAAUUUUGUUUACAAAAUUGGCUGCCAUGAAUAAGCACAAAGCUAUCCCAUCAGGAUAGACUUUUUCUUUCUAAUGCUUGAAUGAAAAGAUACUGAGCCUGAACAAAUGUGGGCUUCUAGUUGUGAUUUUUUAUUAAAAGAAGAAAAAAAGAAAAAUUCAGGGUCAUCAACUAUAUUUGGAAACUGUUCCUUCAGUUUGUCUGCAUCAAAUUUGUCUCAUGAGAGGGAAAUCAUGUAAGAACUUAAAAAUGGCUGAGCGUAAUAUCUAG